CCUACGGGAGACAGCAGUGGGGGAUAUUGCACAAUGGGGGAAACCCUGAUGCGGCGACGCCGCGUGGGUGAAGAAGCGCCUCGGCGCGUAAAGCCCUGUCAGCAGGGACGAAAAUGACGGUACCUGAAGAAGAAGCCCCGGCUAACUACGUGCCAGCAGCCGCGGUAAUACGUAGGGGGCAAGCGUUAUCCGGAUUUCCUGGGUGUAAAGGGGGCGCAGACGGCGAUGCAAGCCAGGAGUGAAAGCCCGGGGCCCAACCCCGGGACUGCUCUUGGAACUGCGUGGCUAGAGUGCAGGAGGGGCAGGCGGAAUUCCUGGUGUAGCGGUGAAAUGCGUAGAUAUCAGGAGGAACACCGGUGGCGAAGGCGGCCUGCUGGACUGCAACUGACGUUGAGGCCCGAAAGCGUGGGGAGCAAACAGGAUUAGAUACCCCUGUAGUC
rnacentral:rRNA from 1 species